rnacentral:lncRNA from 1 species
UAUAAAGAGCAUAUAAACAACCAGUGAUGGUGCGAACUACUGAUGAUACCCCACCCAAAUAUUUCGUUGUUGAGUUGUGAAUCUGAAAAAGCAUCACACAGUAUAGCUGACUAAUAUAAACCCUGAAACCAAAUUUCAGAAAUCAUUGUAUUGUAGUUCCUCAGAAAAAUAUGACGAUUUUUUUUAACUUGGCUGUCAUGUGAAAAGUGUUCGGUAAACAGGAAGUGGUUGAGUAAUGAAUCUGAAAACUUAUCACACGAUAUAGCCGACUUCAAUAAACCUUUCAGAAAUUCUUGUAAUGUAGUUCAUGAAAAAAAUGCAACGAAAAUAUUCAUGGGACAGAGGGAUGAACUGACGGACAGACUGACGGAUGGACGGUUGGAAGGACGUCGACGGACAGACAGAGGUAAAACAGUAUACCCCACUUUUUUUGAAGCGGCGGUAUAAUGAUUGGAUCAACAUAAAGACUUUACAACAAUAAUAAUAUGAUAUAAUUAUCUUUAUAGCACCAUAAGCCUCAGUCACAAUCGGAGCCAAAACAAAAUAGAAAAAAA